CCCCGCGCCCCCGCCACCAGGUCCGCAGGCCGGUCCGGUCCCUGGGAUGCGCUGGGCGGGCAGCUUCGGCUCUGGGCCGCCAGGAAAGGCCCGGUGACCUUGGCCCGGCUCCGGGUUCGAAUCAACCUCCUCCACUGGCUGGCUCUGUGAUCUUGGGCCGGGCCCCUCGCCCGUGUCCAGGUGACUCAUUGGGACGAGAAUGACCCUCCUCGUGGGCUAGGCGGUUCCGGAGGGCGCCUGGAAAGCGCUGUCCCGGGCCGCCGUCGGGUCGGGGACCGCCCUGGACGCUGGGGCUGCCGCGAAUCGGCAGACCUUGCCGUUAGCUUAGAACCCCUGGCCCGGAGGCACCCUUCCGAACUCGCCCUCUCCCUGAGGUCCCCUGCAGCCGUCGCCCGGCCUCCCGGUGCCUUGCGACCCUGCACGGUCCCAGGGCGGUCCAGCCAUGUCUCACGACCUCGCAAUCACCCCACCGCACAGGCCACGAACCUCGUCAGACCCUCCCGGGCCUUCCAGUGGGGCCGCUCCGUCUGGACCUUCCUCCUUCCCGGGCCCCAUGCCCAUCAUCAGCAAGCCCCAGCAGAGCACAGGGUGAUACAGUGAAGAAUCCUUCUGGCGCCUGGGGACAGGAGCAGCCUAGCCUCUCUGAGGAGGUGAGCUGAACCAGAGCCAAUCACUGUCAGAGCAAAGGACUUUCAGCAGUGCGAGACUCAAGCAGGGGGAAGCUCAGCAUGUCCCAGGAACCAACAAAAGCAAGCCUCUCUACACUUGGAUUCAUUGUUUCAAGUACUCAGCAGCCACGUGUGGCUCACAGCAACCACAUUAGACAGCGACCUGUAAUUUUUUACUCAGAAACAAAAAUAUCAUGCAAGAAUGAAGGCCUCUCACUGUUGUGGCCUCUCCCGUUGCGGAGCACAGGCUCCGGACACGCAGGCUCAGCAGCCAUGGCUCACGGGCCCAGCCGCUCCGCGGCAUGUGGGAUCUUCCCGGACCGGGGCACGAAUCCGUGUCCCCUGCAUCAGCAGGCGGACUCUCAACCACUGCGCCACCAGGGAAGCCCUGAACUGUACUUUUGAAGUAAUUCAGUGAGGUGUGCUUUUUGUGUGGUAUAUUUCACAGUAUAAAAGAUAAAUAAAUACAGUGGCUUUGAG